AGAGUUUGAUUAUGCUCAGGAUGAACGCUAGCGGCAGGCCUAAUACAUGCAAGUCGAACGGCACGGGUGCAGCAAUGCAUGCCGGCGAGUGGCGUACGGGUGCGUAACACGUUGUAACCUACCUUCAACAGGAGGAUAGCUCCGAGAAAUUGGAAUUAAUAUCCAUAAAAUUAUGUAUCGGCAUCGAUAUGUAAUUAAAGUUCCGGCGGUGGAGAUGGGCACGCGAAACAUUAGCUAGUUGGUGAGGUAACGGCUCACCAGGCGACGAUGUUUAGGGGUUCUGAGAGGAUUCACCCCCACACUGGUACGAGACACGGACCAGACUCCUACGGGAGGCAGCAGUAAGGAAUAUUGGUCAUGGGCGCAAGCCUGAACCAGCCAUGCCGCGUGAAGGAAGACGGCCUUAGGGUUGUAAACUUCUUUUAUACAGGAAAAACCUCCUGGUCGAGCAUCAGACUGAUUGUACUGUAUGAAUAAGGAUCGGCUAACUCCGUGCCAGCAGCCCGGUAAUACGGAGGAUCCAAGCGUUAUCCGGAUUUAUUGGGUUUAAAGGUGCGCAGGCGGAUUGGUAAGUCAGUGGUGAAAUCCCUCAGCUUAACUGAGAACUGCCAUUGAUACUAUCAGUCUUGAGUACAAAUGAAGUGGGCGGAAGUGUCAUGUAGCGGUGAAAUGCAUAGAGAUGACACAGAACACCGAUAGCAAGGCAGCUCACUAAGCCACAACUGACGCUGAGGGACGAAAGCGUGGGGGCAAACAGGAUUAGAUACCCUGGUAGUCCACGCCCUAAACGAUGCUUACCGGUGUUGGCGCCUUAUGCGUCAGUGCCCAAGCGAAAGUAAUAAGUAAGCACCUGGGGAGUACGAUCGCAAGAUUGAAACUCAAAUGAAUUGACGGGG
rnacentral:rRNA from 1 species